CAAACCAGCCUCAGGACUAAUAUGAAUCAUUAUUUCAAGAUGUCUGCGAUCGCAAACGUAUCUUUAUUGUUUUCGAUUGCCUGCAUCCACCAGGGUUCUGGUUCCUGUGUCCGCUACAGCCAUGACUUCUGGGGAGCGGACUUGUGGAAUUAUAGGGCGCCCAACUUUGACAGUUGCAUAAAUGUGUGUAAAGCAGUCAAUAACUGCAAAGCUAUAACUUACAGUUCUUCCUCCAGAACAUGCUGGCUCAAGUACCGAAGAGGAGGAAACCAUGGUCCUUCUAUAAAAGGAGGGCUGAUCAGCACCAACAUGGACUGCGACAACAAGAGUGACCAGAGCUGUGCUAAGUCCAGCGUGGACUACUGGGGAGCAGACUUGGGUCACAGGACAGCGUACACAUUGGGCCAGUGCGAGAUUUUCUGUCGAGAUACAGAGAGGUGUGUGUCUCUCACUUUCCGGGCAUCUUCCAGGGACUGCUGGCUGAAGCAUCGCAAGAGUGGACUCAGAGGACCGACCGCUGCGCACGGCCUUGUUAGUCUCAACAUGGAGUGUCCCUCAACCGCAUCGCAAGCUUCCAGAUGUGCACACGCAAACGCAAAUUUCGAGGGAGCUGACUUGGUCCAUCUGACAACGGACCGAUACAGUGUAAGCAAAUGUGAGGGAUUCUGUAGGGAAGAGCCUCGCUGUGUUUCCUUUACUUACCGGAUUUCUGCUGGAGACUGCUGGCUGAAGAGUCUGCAGUACGGAGCGAGGGGACAGAGCUAUGCUAGGGGAUUUACCAGCAUGAACAUGAACUGUUCGAAAUAAACACUCCUUGCUAGAAAAUGUAGAAUUGGAUGUGUUAUCAGUUUUAAUUCAGCGAAUUUGAGGACAUUUUUUAAAAUGUUUUAAGAUUUAAAAUGGGAAAAAUACACAUGUUUUUAAUUCAAUUUUAAUCAAUGUUGAUUCAUUAAAGUUUUUCGUUUAAA